AUUUAAAUAGUUUAUAAGAAUAAUAAUUUGUGGUAUUAUAGGUGUAAGUUCAAUUACUUUAAGUC
rnacentral:tRNA from 1 species